rfam:Schistosoma curassoni strain Dakar, Senegal genome assembly, scaffold: SCTD_scaffold0004379
GCACUGCUGAGGUGUCCCAAAAUAGGACGGAACAGCUGUCCGGUGC